GUCUACAGUCACACCACCCUGAAGUCUGAGCUCAUCUGAUCUUGGAAGCUAAGAGGGUCAGGCCUGGUUAGUACUUGGAUGGGGGACAUUACAAAGAAGAAAACUAUAUGUC
rnacentral:rRNA from 1 species